rnacentral:rRNA from 1 species
AACCUACGGGACGCAGCAGUGAGGAAUAUUGGUCAAUGGGGGAAACCCUGAAGCAGCAACGCCGCGUGGAGGAUGAAGGUUUUCGGAUUGUAAACUCCUUUUGUUAGAGAAGAUAAUGACGGUAUCUAACGAAUAAGCACCGGCUAACUCCGUGCCAGCAGCCGCGGUACUACGGAGGGUGCAAGCGUUACUCGGAAUUACUGGGCGUAAAGAGCGCGUAGGCGGGAUAGCAAGUCAGAUGUGAAAUCCUAUGGCUUAACCAUAGAACUGCAUUUGAAACUGUUAUUCUGGAGUAUGGGAGAGGG